rnacentral:rRNA from 1 species
UACGAAGGGGCUAGCGUUGCUCGGAAUCACUGGGCGUAAAGGGUGCGUAGGCGGGUUUUAAGUCAGAGGUGAAAUCCUGGAGCUCAACUCCAGAACUGCCUUUGAUACUGAAAGUCUUGAGUAUGGGGAGAGGUGAGUGGAACUGCGAGUGUAGAGGUGAAAUUCGUAGAUAUUCGCAAGAACACCAGUGGCGAAGGCGGCUCACUGGCCCAUUACUGACGCUGAGGCACGAAAGCGUGGGGGAGCAAACAGGG